AUUGAACGCUGGCGGCAGGCCUAACACAUGCAAGUCGAGCGGUAGAGAGAAGCUUGCUUCUCUUGAGAGCGGCGGACGGGUGAGUAAUGCCUAGGAAUCUGCCUGACAGUGGGGGAUAACGUCCGGAAACGGACGCUAAUACCGCAUACGUCCUACGGGAGAGAGUGGGGGCUCUUCGGACCUCACGCUAUCAGAUGAGCCUAGGUCGGAUUAGCUAGUUGGGGGGGUAAAGGCUCACCAAGGCGACGAUCCGUAACUGGUCUGAGAGGAUGAUCAGGCAGACUUGAACGGAGGCACGGUCCAGACUCCUACGGGAGGCAGCAGUGGGGAAUAUUGGACAAUGGGCGAAAGCCUGAUCCAGCCAUGCCGCGUGUGUGAAGAAGGUCUUCGGAUUGUAAAGCACUUUAAGUUGGGAGGAAGGGUCGUUACCUAAUACGUGGCGAUUUUGACGUUACCGACAGAAUAAGCACCGGCUAACUCUGUGCCAGCCGCCGCAGUAAAAC
rnacentral:rRNA from 1 species